rnacentral:rRNA from 1 species
UACGUAGGGGGCAAGCGUUGUCCGGAUUUAUUGGGCGUAAAGAGCUCGUAGGCGGUUCCGUAAGUCGUGAAGUCAAAUCUCUGGGCUCAACCCAGAAUCGCUUCCGAUACUGCAGUGACUGGAGUCCGGUAGGGGAGUGUGGAAUUCCUGGUGUAGCGGUGAAAUGCGCAGAUAUCAGGAGGAACACCAACAGCGAAGGCAGCACUCUGGGCCGGUACUGACGCUGAGGAGCGAAAGCAUGGGGAGCGAACAGG